AUUGAACGCUGGCGGCGGGCCUAACACAUGCAAGUCGAACGAGUAGCGGACAGGUGAGUACUGUCUGGGAAACUGCCCGUUGGAGGGGGAUAACAACUGGAAACGGUAGCUAAUACCGUAUACCAUCGGAUGUGGCCAGAUGGGAUUAGCUUGUAGGUGAGGGAACGGCUCACCUAGGCGACGAUCCCUAGCUGGUCUGAGAGGAUGACCAGCCACACUGGAACUGAGACACGGUCCAGACUCCUACGUGAGGCAGCAGUGGGGAAUCUUGCACAAUGGGCGCAAGCCUGAUGGAGCCAUGCCGCGUGGAUGAAGAAGGUCUUCGGAUGGUAAAGCACUUUAAGUUGGGAGGCGUUACCAACAGAAUAAGCACCGGCUAACUUCGUGCCAGCAGCCGCGGUAAUUC
rnacentral:rRNA from 1 species